UACAGAGGUGGCAAGCGUUGUUCGGAAUUACUGGGCGUAAAGGGCGCGUAGGCGGCCUUGUAAGUCCUGUGUGAAAUCCCCCGGCUCAACUGGGGAACUGCACAGGAGACUGCUUGGCUUGAGUUCGGGAGAGGGAAGCGGAAUUCCGGGUGGUAGCGGUGAAAUGCGUAGAUAUCCGGAGGAACACCGGUGGCGAAGGCGGCUUCCUGGACCGACACUGACGCUGAGGCGCGAAAGCCAGGGGAGCAAACGGG
rnacentral:rRNA from 1 species